rnacentral:lncRNA from 1 species
CAGGUGGAAGGGGCAGAAAGCAAUUUCAAGGAGGAGCUUUCUCAGAGGGUGGAGUCUGAGCACACUCCACAAAGCGAGGGAAUGUCCCAGGAACCUGGGAGAGAAGCGUGUUCCAGGCCGAGGGCGCCUGUGCAAAGACCCAGGGCUGUAGCCUGGCGGGCACAGCAGGAACCAUCGCUGCCUGAAUGCUGGAGUGGCAGAAGCAAGGGAGGGUGUGACAGUAUGCUUGCCCUCUGGGGUUGGUGCCUCGAUCUCCCUGCUGCUCCCUACCUCACAGCGGUGAGAGCUACAAGGCAGAAGAUGGGCUGGCCAGAAACCUCCCGGAAAUGGGCCUGGGACCACCUGGAAUAUGCUGCACCUGAGGCCACAGUUACUGAAGGAUGAUGAGCACUGUCUGGGCUCCAGUUCUGCACGCUUUGCCAUUCGCGCAUCCUGACUCCACCGACAGCCCGAAGAUCCAAGGAGAAAGGGAAGGAAUAGGAGCUUGGAAAAGAAUGUGACCAACUCAUGUCCCACAGCCAGCAAACCUGAGCCUUGAGGAUGGAUCUUCUGAAGAGGCUUGGCCGGACUUGUAUGACUUCGCCAUGCUGGCUGGUCACUGUCCUGCCCAUCCCAGGUAAUGGUGAGGACAUAAUGACGUGCACUCCAUGCUCAGCCCUGGACAAAGAUCUUAUGGAGGAGAAAGAAGUAAUGGAUAACUUCUGGGGCUGCAGAGACACUGAGGCUGUCAAGAGAAAAUUAAAUUUACAGUCAGAGAGUUUUGUUUUCUCAAGUGUCCUUGUACAAUGCAAAAGAGGCUUCUGGCAUCACCACGGCAAUUCAGCUGGUUUCCUAAACUGGCAGGGUUUUCCUCCAAGAAGUCCUCUUCCUUUGCCAAGAGAGUGUAUUAAUGACAAGGACUGGACCUAAAGGGAACUCAUUGGUAAGAAAACUGCAUUAAAAGAACAUUAAGGGCGAUGUUUUAAAGUCUGAUUUAAACUCAUGAAAGCAAAGAGAGUUAUUGUGGAAGCCAAAUCGCCAGGCUGACGCACCCUGCCUG